rnacentral:rRNA from 1 species
UACGUAGGUGGCAAGCGUUGUCCGGAUUUAUUGGGCGUAAAGGGAGCGCAGGCGGUGACUUAAGUCUGAUGUGAAAGCCCACGGCUCAACCGUGGAAGGUCAUUGGAAACUGGGUCACUUGAAUAUAGAAGAGGAAAGUGGAAUUCCCGGUGUAGUGGUGAAAUGCGUAGAGAUCGGGAGGAACACCAGUGGCGAAGGCGACUUUCUGGUCUAUUAUUGACGCUGAGGCUCGAAAGCAUGGGUAGCAAACAGGAUUAGAUACCCCGGUAGUCCCU